rnacentral:rRNA from 1 species
GUGUCAGCAGCCGCGGUAAUACGUAGGAUCCGAGCGUUGUCCGGAAUUACUGGGUGUAAAGGGCGUGUAGGUGGGUCUUUAAGUCGGGGGUGAAAUCCUGCAGCUUAACUGCAGAACUGCUUCCGAUACUGAAGAUCUUGAGUACGGCAGAGGGAGAUGGAAUUCAUGGUGUAGCGGUGAAAUGUGUAGAUAUCAUGAAGAACACCGGUAGCGAAGGCGGUCUCCUGGUCCGUAACUGACACUGAGGCGCGAAAGCGUGGGGAGCAAACAGGAUUAGAUACCCUCGUAGUCC